ensembl:lncRNA
UUUUUUCUUUUUUUCUUUUUUUUUUUUUUACUUCAUUCCGGUCAUAGGGCUAAUAAGCGGCAGUGGCCAGAGUGUAUCUUUAUCUGUCAGGCUCUGAAGUAGAAAUUGCCAACCUCUUUACCGUGCUGCUCUUUAAACUCAGGGAGAAGGGAUUUAAGUUCGUGCUAUGAGGCGGAAGAGCAGGGUCAGGGAAGGGCCAGUAUCUGUGUCCUAUAUACCUCCCAGGGAAGGGAGCAUACGAUGAAAGCUGGCUGUGAAGAUGGAGCCUUUAUGGUAGGGGUGGAGGUGUGUGUGCGUGUGUGUGCGUGAGAGCGUGUGUGUUUGUAACAGCAAUGGGCCUGCUCGUGUGGGCCAGGCACUCAGGUAUUUCGCCUAGCCUUGGAUCUUCGAAGACGAAGCAAGCUAAACUGCACCCACAUUUCUCAAAUUCUUGGCCCUUGAUUCAUGGAGUUUCGAGACUGUCACUCUCAAGUCAUGAGUUUGCCCAUGUGCACCUGUAAAUGCACACACACUCUCACACAGGCUCACAAACCAAGACUUGUCACUGUAAACUGUUUGGGUCCAGGAAGGGUGAAUGCAUAAGCCUUAAGGAGAUACGGGCGUCAGGGGGCCUGUCUGAUCUUCUCGGCACCUCACCUUAGGAUAGAAAGUUCCUUCUAAGGUUUUCCUUUUAAAUGCUAAGCCAAGGGGCAAGUUAAACAUGGAGAUACCACGACUGCCACUGAUCCACAGCUUUUAUGCAACAUCUUCUAUAAAACAGAAACAGAAGUCAGGGAAGAAUGAUCUUCUUAUACAUCAACUCUCUAUGUAGAAAGAGAUAUAAGGACAGGAUACAGACAUAUGCAUCCCCUUAUAUAUAGUUAUAUAUAUCCUUAUAUAGUACUUAGAAUACAUAUGACCUUCUUAUAUGUCAUGUCUCUGAAAUUUCGAGGUAUUUUCUAUGACGAUUAACUUUGUUCUACCAGUAUGACUGACAGAAAUGUCUUUUCAGAUUUUCUGAAAAAAAAUUUUGGAAGCUGGUCCAUGUUGCAUUUGUAGGUGAGCUAUAAUAAAUCUUUGCAUUCUAGGAUAGAAGAGUUUUUGUUCAUUGUCUCGUGGUAGCUAUUUGGGGCCUAAAUCCUCCCGGACCAUCACUUUUUCUACUGAAAGACCUUGUUCUAACCAUCCUCAGGUGUCCAUAGCAUGCCUGGAAUCUCCAGGGCUCACUCUUCUACUGGAUAUAGUUUCUGCUGUGAAGAAGCACUUGUCUAUCACUUCUGUUACCUUGACUUUACUUUCAGCCCUGAAAGGCAACAAAAUAUGUAAAGAGAUUAUAUUCCCAACUUCAUACCACAAGCUUUUUUUUUUUUUUUUUUUUUUUUGCCUUUUAGGGCAUAUGGAAAUUCCCAGGCUAGGGGGUUAAAUCGGAGCUACAGCUGUCAGCCUAUACCACAGCCAUAGCAACGUGGGAUCUGAGCUGCAUCUGCAACCUACACCAUGGCUCACAGCAACAGUGGAUGCUUAACCCACUGAGCGAGGCCAGGGAUCGAACCUGUGUCCUCUUGGACACUAGUUGGGUUCAUUAUCACUGAAGUGCAGCCCUAAAAAAAGGCAAACAAACAAACAAACAAAAGAAUUGGCCGAGGAAAGCUGUAAAGCCAAAAUAUUAUUUUGUGGUAUAAUAUUCUGUGUUAACCAGUUGUUCUGUGACUUUAGUGAUCCACUCAGUGCUUGGUGGAAAGCUGAUACUUAGUGCCCUACAACAGUAAAUCCAGACAGGGGUCCACACAAGUCCAGAUGCCAAGGUCUCAGUCAAUACCAAUACUAAGACUAGCAAGCCCCUUCACUGAAGCCCUUCAUGCUAAUAAAAGCUACCUUGUGAUGAAUACUUAAUCUAUCCUGGACUCCAUGCUAAGCACCUUUUGGCGUAUACAUAAAUUCAUAUUAUCCUUUCACUAGCCCUCUGACCUGGGGAUCACCAAUCUCCUCACUGUGAAAACUCCACGCUUAAGAGACGUUAGGAGGCCUGCCCAGGUCACACAGUCAGGGAGUCCCGGAGCAGGAACUAAAAUCCAGCCCUGAGGCUCUGCUAGCCCUUUGUACACACCCAUCUGUAACACAGCCUGCUUUCCACAAGUCCACGGUCAGAGCACAAGGAAACUUCGGGGCAAUCAUCUCAUGAGUCCUCAACUCCAUUACUCUCCCCAAGUUCACCAGCUUCCUGCUCUUCUCCUGGCCAAGUAAAAGUCAACUGAACACUCAGUUAUAGAUAAUCUGAUAAGUAUUUAGUGAACAAAGAGGAAGAGUGAUACAUUUGCCAAAAAUUCUUUAGGUAGGUGUUUAUAAGAACAUGCAUCCUGGAGACAGGAAAGAGGCCCAAUGAAGCUAAUGCGUUUUGCAUAAAUAUCAUUAUUUUUGCACCUUGGAGCAAAUCAAAUAUUGGUUUAUACAUUGCUUAAAGAGCCUUAGGGGAGAAAUUAGCAUGAAAACCAUUUGCUUCCUAAAUACAAAGCUUAACUCACAAAAUAGGGCUGAAAUAAAGAUGGCAGAGUGAAGUAAAUCAGAGAGUGAAUAUCUCCGAGAUGGCUUAAGAGAAACAAAGGAAACCCAGAAUCCAGAAACCUGGUUGGGUGGGGUGCCCUGAGGCCUGACGCUUUGCUCUUCACUUUGCUGGCUUGCCCUGCAAUGAGAUAUUAUUAAACUAGGCAGGGGCAAACUGUGAUCUGGGUAGGCUGCCUACAGAGCCAACACGUGUUACCAGGAAGAAAAAGGAAUGCACGCUGGACUUAAAAGCAACUGGGCGAGUCUGAAGUGCUGAUCAUUCUCAAGGAUGGGCCCUUUGGCAAUCGCAAAACUCGAUCCUGCCCCCAGGACCCAAUGUGAAACAAUACAAGAAGAACAGUUGCCUCGCUGGUACCCCCUGGCAGAUGAAUAACCGCUCACUGUCUUGAGGGAUGGUCGGUUGUGCUGGGCUUGUACCAGAACAAGCAGCCCAAAGCUAAGAAGGCCUUGAGUCCUAACACUUUCCUGUAUAGCCCACAGGUUUGGGUCAGGUAAGGGGCUGGAGACGGAAGUUGGGUUGGGCGUCAGAAUCCUGGCCAAAGUCGGGGAGGACUCUAGGCCUUGAAAAUCCCUUUGACCUUGCAUUGCCUUGUCCUUUACACCAGAACCUCACACCAUUAGGGGCUGGCAUUGUUAUUCUCACCCUAUAUCCAAGCGUGAGGAAAGACAUGUAAGAUAAAGGGAUAGAAUUUUUCAGCUCCUGCUCAAAUCCAUCGUCUACCAGGGAGCAAAUGUAGCCCGCUGAGCACAAGGUUGGCAAAGAGAGGCAGAUUAAGAACUGAUGCUCUAUAUCCAUCUCUAACAACCCUGGGAAGAAUUCCCAAACAGCAUCAUUUAUAAAAGAACCAGCAAAUGACCUUUUCCUGACAUAGCCCACAGCUUGUCACAAAAUUCAUAUGUGCCAGUCCAAAAAUCACUUUAAUUUUAUAUGUUUUAUACGCUUUCUUCCUUAAUGAUGCUAUUUGGAUAAUUUAGAUUUUAGAGAUAUGAUGAGUGCUUUAAACACUCUACAAUAGCUUUAUAUGUACGUUUCUGUGGCUGCUGUUAUCAACAGUGCUGUGUUAAUCUUUAUGGCUUUAAAAACAUCUUUACUCUAUGAUGCUAUUGAUCAAUGUGUCCCAAGGAAGCAAUCUGCAUUAUACGGAGAAAAACCAGAAUGGAAUUUUAAAAACUUCAACACAUUUUUCUUAUGGAUUGUGAAGGAGAUAUAAAGUGGGUAUUCUGUAAGACUCUUUCAGAAAGAACUGAUCUUCAAUUAGUCAGAAAACAGCAGAAAAUAAGGUUGCUUUCCUCAGAGUGCAAAGGAUCAACCAAGUAAGCAAAUUAAGCUCUCAUUAACCUUCGCGAGACGUUUACCCUAAAACUUAGUUUCUUCAUCCGUAAGAUGAGACUACUAGCUGUUGCUGCAUGAAGCUUAACCAUGUAAGUGCUCCUUAAAGGCUCAUCGGCAUCAUCACCGCUGUCAUCAAUACUGCCGUUUGUCAUCUCAAGCUCAUGUACAGAGAGGUAACACUGAAUCAAGGAGGACGGGAGUGGUGUGCUACAGCAGGUCAGCUGGCUGGAGGUUAGAAAAUGAAGCAAGGCCCCUGUUCCGCAGGCUGACUGAUAGAUCUCGUACCCCAUACAGUUCAUCCAGUCUCAGAGAGGUGUUCUGUAAACACGGAGCUCCAGCCAUGGGAGGGUCUGGGUAAGGGCAUGGUCUGCCUGUCAAACUCUCAGCCCCCUUCCUGAAACACACGUGUCUCUCAGGUGGUACACUGCCUGGCACUAGAAAGCCAGCUCAGUGACUGACCUGGGCCCUCUAGUGACCCUCUGCCCAUACCUUGGGGUGAAGAAAGUCUUAAGGACCAUAUUUUCGCUGGGUGAAAUGGAACUUACUCUAAAAGACGCAACUUAUAAAUGGCAUCCAAGUUCCAUGCAACUCUGCUUAUGACGACGCUGUGAUCCAAGUUAUUCCCCUGAAGAAAAGCCUUAGUCCUUUCAUCGGAGAUGCACUUUCUUCGUUCACACCAUUCACCUUCCAUUUGACUGUUUUCUCUUUGUGUACUGUAGCGAGCUAACGGUUGGCCUGCGGACUUGUGGUGACGAAGAAAUAGUGUCAAGGACUUACCUGGGGGGACAGGAGACACUUCAAGACACUCUACCCUCAACAGAGGCUGUGGGGUAUCCGCCUUGAGAAUCACUGGUCCCUCUAAUGCUGAGGACCACAGGCAGCUCCUUAUGAAUGCUCUGGGCCUACACCUGCACCCCUCCAUUCUAUGAGGUCAAAUGAGGGUUAGGUAUUCUUACCAGGUAGGCCUUUUAACUUCUCCACUGGAACAUACAGGUGGGUGCGGCACCCCCUUAUGGGGAAGUGACAGUUUUUCACAGGCAAGGCUUUGGUGGCCUAUGGGUUCAAACACUGACUCACUGCAGUGGUCAGAUAAAGAUGAGCUGCAUAGAGCUUCCUGCCUCUGGGUGGGUGUUGAUGUGCAACCCCCCACAUGGACACCACUGGCUUCUUAACAGAUGGGUGUUGGUAUGAGAAGGACACAGCCUGGCUCAGCCAUUAAGCUAAUUAAUAAUGACGGCACCAAGAGCUUCAUCAUCCUUGAAUGAAAUGUUUAUGGACAUCCUUUGGAAAGGACGAUAAAGCUUGUCCUUUGCAAGGCCAAUUUUUGGCAUAAAAAUAUUGAUCACACAGCUGGGGGAGCUGGAACUGGAGAGUAACUGCUGAAGGGGAAAGGAUAUUUUUUAAGAUGUGAAGUGAAAUUUGAGGCUUACACUCAUUUUGACAAGGAGGCUGCCUGAAACACCACAUCCUCAUCUCUCAAGUACAGCCCUGGUGAGGACCUUGUAAGGGUGCUGACUAACGCCUCUCAGUUGUAGCAGAUGAAGGAUACACAGCGCCAUGUGAGUUAAGUCCCUCAUGGCUCACGAAAAGAAUCCUUUACAGAGACCAAAGCAUAGGAGGGCAAUUAAACAGGCAGGCACAUCAGCACCAAAAUCCCAUGUCUCUGAUAAUGUCACGCUGCUGGUGUUUUUAGCCAUAAACUUCUUUUGAUAAAACCAGUCUUCUUUGCUAGAAGAAAAGCCACUGUAAUGCAGUGACGGCUUCAUGUAGGAGAGAAUCUUGAAAAUCACCACGUAAAGCAUAU